rnacentral:misc_RNA from 1 species
UCCCGGUUGGCCCGGGCAGUCUCGCAUGAAAUAUACAACAUACGAUAAGGGUUGCGCUCGUUGCGGGACUUAACCCAACAUCUCACGACACGAGCUGACGACGGCCAUGCAACACCUGUCACUAGGUUCCCGAAGGCACGGCACUGUUUCCAGCGCUUUCCUAGGAUGUCAAGCCUUGGUAAGGUUCUUCGCGUAGCUUCGAAUUAAACCACAUCAUCCACCGCUUGUGCGGGUCCCCGUCAAUUCCUUUGAGUUUUAAGCUUGCGCUCGUACUCCCCAGGCGGCUUACUUAUCGCGUUAGCUUCACAGCCCAGGGGGUCGAUACCCCGAACUAUUAGUAAGCAUCGUUUACGGCGUGGACUAC